GUUUGAUCAUGGCUCAGAUUGAACGCUGGCGGCAUGCCUUACACAUGCAAGUCGAACGGCAGCGCGGACUUCGGUCUGGCGGCGAGUGGCGAACGGGUGAGUAACAUAUCGGAACGUGCCCAGGAGUGGGGGAUAGCCCGGCGAAAGCCGGAUUAAUACCGCAUACGAUCUAUGGAUGAAAGUGGGGGACCGCAAGGCCUCACGCUCAUGGAGCGGCCGAUAACUGAUUAGCUAGUUGGUGGGGUAAAGGCCUACCAAGGCGACGAUCAGUAGCUGGUCUGAGAGGACGACCAGCCACACUGGGACUGAGACACGGCCCAGACUCCUACGGGAGGCAGCAGUGGGGAAUUUUGGACAAUGGGGGCAACCCUGAUCCAGCAAUGCCGCGUGAGUGAAGAAGGCCUUCGGGUUGUAAAGCUCUUUUGUCCGGGAAGAUAAUGACAGUACCGGGAGAAUAAGCUCCGGCUAACUCCGUGCCAGCAGCCGCGGUAAUA
rnacentral:rRNA from 1 species